rnacentral:rRNA from 1 species
GUUAAGCGACUAAGCGUACACGGUGGAUGCCCUGGCAGUCAGAGGCGAUGAAGGACGUGCUAAUCUGCGAUAAGCGUCGGUAAGGUGAUAUGAACCGUUAUAACCGGCGAUUUCCGAAUGGGGAAACCCAGUGUGAUUCGUCACACUAUCAUUAACUGAAUCCAUAGGUUAAUGAGGCGAACCGGGGGAACUGAAACAUCUAAGUACCCCGAGGAAAAGAAAUCAACCGAGAUUCCCCCAGUAGCGGCGAGCGAACGGGGAGCAGCCCAGAGCCUGAAUCAGUGUGUGUGUUAGUGGAAGCGUCUGGAAAGGCGCGCGAUACAGGGUGACAGCCCCGUACACAAAAAUGCACAUGCUGUGAGCUCGAUGAGUAGGGCGGGACACGUGGUAUCCUGUCUGAAUAUGGGGGGACCAUCCUCCAAGGCUAAAUACUCCUGACUGACCGAUAGUGAACCAGUACCGUGAGGGAAAGGCGAAAAGAACCCCGGCGAGGGGAGUGAAAAAGAACCUGAAACCGUGUACGUACAAGCAGUGGGAGCACGCUUAGGCGUGUGACUGCGUACCUUUUGUAUAAUGGGUCAGCGACUUAUAUUCUGUAGCAAGGUUAACCGAAUAGGGGAGCCGAAGGGAAACCGAGUCUUAACUGGGCGUUAAGUUGCAGGGUAUAGACCCGAAACCCGGUGAUCUAGCCAUGGGCAGGUUGAAGGUUGGGUAACACUAACUGGAGGACCGAACCGACUAAUGUUGAAAAAUUAGCGGAUGACUUGUGGCUGGGGGUGAAAGGCCAAUCAAACCGGGAGAUAGCUGGUUCUCCCCGAAAGCUAUUUAGGUAGCGCCUCGUGAAUUCAUCUCCGGGGGUAGAGCACUGUUUCGGCAAGGGGGUCAUCCCGACUUACCAACCCGAUGCAAACUGCGAAUACCGGAGAAUGUUAUCACGGGAGACACACGGCGGGUGCUAACGUCCGUCGUGAAGAGGGAAACAACCCAGACCGCCAGCUAAGGUCCCAAAGUCAUGGUUAAGUGGGAAACGAUGUGGGAAGGCCCAGACAGCCAGGAUGUUGGCUUAGAAGCAGCCAUCAUUUAAAGAAAGCGUAAUAGCUCACUGGUCGAGUCGGCCUGCGCGGAAGAUGUAACGGGGCUAAACCAUG